GGAUUUUUAGGUUAAGUAAGACCAUUAGCCUUCAAAGCUAGGAGAGAAAAUCUUUUUCAGAAUCCG
rnacentral:tRNA from 1 species